GCUCGCGUAGCUCAGCAGGUAGAGCAGUUGCCUUUUAAGCAACGGGUCAGGAGUCCGAAUCUCCUCGCGGGCACCA
rnacentral:tRNA from 1 species